AUUGAACGCUAGCGGGAUGCCUUACACAUGCAAGUCGAACGGCAGCACGGACUUCGGUCUGGUGGCGAGUGGCGAACGGGUGAGUAAUGUAUCGGAACGUGCCCAGUAGCGGGGGAUAACUACGCGAAAGCGUAGCUAAUACCGCAUACGCCCUACGGGGGAAAGCAGGGGAUCGCAAGACCUUGCACUAUUGGAGCGGCCGAUAUCGGAUUAGCUAGUUGGUGGGGUAACGGCUCACCAAGGCGACGAUCCGUAGCUGGUUUGAGAGGACGACCAGCCACACUGGGACUGAGACACGGCCCAGACUCCUACGGGAGGCAGCAGUGGGGAAUUUUGGACAAUGGGGGAAACCCUGAUCCAGCCAUCCCGCGUGUGCGAUGAAGGCCUUCGGGUUGUAAAGCACUUUUGGCAGGAAAGAAACGUCAUGGGUUAAUACCCCGUAAACUGACGGUAC
rnacentral:rRNA from 1 species